rnacentral:misc_RNA from 1 species
UGGUAAUGGUACUGUUUUUGCUGGAUUUCCGGCUGCCGAUCUUAAGACAGCUGUGGAAACUGCUGGAGAUACUACACAGACGAGUGUUCAAAUCAAAAUUGUGGGUACCCAGUUUGGAGUUGGCUCUCCUAAUGUACCUAUGCCCUCCAAUAUCUCUUUGGAAAAUGAUGGGUUUAUUUGCCCUAAACCCUCUAUGCAAGGAAAGAGUGUUAUGCAAGUAUGCUGUAUUAAAGACGAAAAUUUCAAGACAAAUUUGACGUUGGGUGAGAAAUUUAGUCCACGCCAAGAUGGGGAUCUUACAAUUAUGUAUG